UACGAAGGGGGCUAGCGUUGCUCGGAAUCACUGGGCGUAAAGGGUGCGUAGGCGGGUCUUUAAGUCAGGGGUGAAAUCCUGGAGCUCAACUCCAGAACUGCCUUUGAUACUGAAGAUCUUGAGUUCGGGAGAGGUGAGUGGAACUGCGAGUGUAGAGGUGAAAUUCGUAGAUAUUCGCAAGAACACCAAUGGCGAAGGCAGCUCACUGGGACGGUACUGACGCUGAGGUGCGAAAGCGUGGGGAGCAAACAGG
rnacentral:rRNA from 1 species